rnacentral:ncRNA from 2 species
GUAUUAGCUAGGGAAUAAGAUGCGUAUAGACGCUUAAUAGGGAAAUCGAUGAGAGUUCGAUACUGCCCCCGCAACUGUAAGUGCUGACGAACUAAACAUAGUCCACUGUAUCGGGUUGUCUCCUUUUGGAGGUGAUGAUACGGGAAGGGUUUGGUGAGGGUGACGCACAAGUCAGGAGACCUGUCUUAUUUUUUGAAUUUCA